AAAAUAUAAUUCCAAGGGGGUUAUUUUUAUAUCGUUAUUAUCUUUUAUUUUGUUGUUGUUGUUACUUAAUCCUCUCUGGUCGUGAGUCUGCUACACAUCCUAGAACAGGUGGGUUCCUAUAGCUUCCAUUCUAAUUUUAAUUUCUACAUGAACGGAAUAAACAUGGCUGCCUCGAUAUCUCAUUUUCCUGUGCUGAUGGAAAUUAAAAUCCAGCCUCUCUCUCUCACUGGACAGCUUGCUGUUUUGAUGCUCCUGCCAUUAUUAACAUGGCAGCUGUCACAGCAGUUAGCCAUGGAAAGACCCAUUAGCUCAUCUGAUCCCAUUUCCCUGCCAGGACAGGAUAUAGGCCCUAAAAAUGCUUCCUGGUCUAAUGACUGCUUCAGGGUUUAUUUAUCCUAGGUUACAGCAAACAUGGCUUCAAAAAACAGGAAAUAAAGUCUCAUCUUAGUUAAUUAUGAUACCAGUUAUAACAACAUAGUGGAGGCUUUCUGGAAGCAGAACUUGCACUUCCAUACAAGGCUGUGUUGGAACCUCAUCUACUAUCUGAGAGCUGGAGUGUGCAGCUGUGAUAACUCUAAUAGGACCUUGGGAAUAUUGCAUAUUCCUACCGUUACAUUUCAUAGGGCCAUCAGAAAUAAAGAACCCUCUAUCUGUGCAUUUCUUAAACUGGUCCGAAUUUAGUGAGCUCCCCGUGGGCAAAUUGUCUCAUUUGCCUUUGAUUGAGACCAACACUUAAGAAAUGCUCAAUAAAAUUUUACUCUGUUAAGGCUGAUCGAAAAGGAGCCCAGGUUUAUCAGAGAAGAGGGGAAAGAGAAAGUACAUAAGGAUUCUGGGUUCCUUUGUCUGGGAGAUAUUCAAGAGUCAUUUCUCAAAUUCAAGAAUCAUUUCCCCUACUAAUGACCACAUUCUUAACAAGAACAAGAGCUAACCCUUACUGUAGACUUACUACUUUGUCCAGCACUAAACUAAACCCUUGGCAUGCAUUAUCUCAGUGAACAACCCUUAAGGGAGGUGGUAUUAUUAUUCUCAUUUUGCUGAAAGAAAAAAAUGAGGCCACAAGAAGUUAAGCAAUUUGCCUAAGGUCACAUACAAGUAAAUCUGAAUUCAAAUUCAAGUCAACCUGACUGGCUGAAGCCCAUAUUAGUGACCACAGUGUUAUACUACCUUUCUGGCCUUGGUUUAUUUUUGGAGAACCCGUGCUUUCAGAGAAGAGAAGUGAGAGGCAAUACCAUUGCUGUUAUUCAUGAGAUAAUUUUAACUCUUCCCCCAUUUCUAAGAGGUAGUUGUUUUCCUUUUCCACCCUCCUUGGUCCUCAACUGACCCUCACCGGUUCUCCCACUGCUCCACUCUUCCACUUUCUCCUUUUAGCCUCUUUCUUAUUAUAACCCUACAUGUGGGGUGAACUAGGAAGGAGUCAUGGCCAGUAACCUCAGCUAACUCUACUCUCUUUCCUUUCCUGCUCAAGCUCAGGAGAGGAGAUCAUCUCUUGGGUGCUACCUUCCACGACUAAGGGUCUAGCAACAACUAAUACUUGCAGGCGGUUCAUACAGUACCUUCACUCUCACCGUCUUGUUUGAUAAACAGGACAACAUAUACAUUAGACCAGGCGGGAUUAUUAACCUAUUUUACAGAUAACAAAACUGAAGCUUAGAAAUCAAGUGCUGUCAAAUCUCAUUUCAAACCUCAUCUGUUUCCCCCCAAACUCUUCUCUAAUGAGAAUCAAGCCUGCCUGUUCAUGCCAUCCUAAAGAGGUGAUCUGCUCCAUCCGGGAUUUCAAGGUCCAACCCAGGCAGAACUGAUGUCAUUCACGUAGGAGACGUUUUCUUGAUCAGAUUCUCCUCAUUUGCCUCCUCACAGCUUGAAACACUGUAUUUGAAAUCCUACUAUUCCUUCCUUCAUGGUUCAACAGGAUACAUUAUUUUACACCAACUCAUCGCGGUCUUCAACCUCUAGAUACGCGGCAAGUCCUGGUUCCCCAUCUACAUAGAUAGCUCCUUGAGGGCAGGAUCAGGACUCAGUCUAUUUUGUUUGUUCCACAAUACCUAACCCAACAGUAAGCACCUCAAAUCUGUUCUCCAAAUAUUAGAGUCCUUCCCCAAUCUGGGCACGGGGUAGAAUCGCACUUCCCUGUGCCCUUGAAAUUGGGAGUAGCCUCAGGACUUGCUUUCGCUGAUGAAAUUCGAGCAUUUCUGCCAGAAGCUUGGAGAGCCCAUGCACAGUUUCAACCAUUCUGUUUUUCUCUCUGGCAUGUGUCAGGUGACAGCUGCUUAUCCUCCUGGGGCCCAGAGUCACUCAGAUGCUAUUGAACGUGACCCCCCCAGCUGCCACAACCACCACCAACCUGUGAUCUUCAUACGGCGAUGUUGAUGAGUAAGAAGUGUUGCUUCAAGCCACUGAGGUUUGGUGUUUGUCUCCACAGCGUAACCCAGUCCAGAUUGACUGGUACCGGAGGGCUCAGCAAAUAUCUGCUGAGCUCUGGACCAAUGGCUUCAUCGUAGCAGAUAAGUAAGAGUAACAGACUUGGGGUUGAUUUGAACAGCAGAGACGAAGACGGAUUCACUGCUGCUCUUGCAGAAAGGAAGCUGUACAGUGAAGCCAAUCGCCCUGAAGCCAGCUCUGCAGCCUGUCCUCCACACGUUCCCAGGUCCAUUAAAUCCAUGCUGAAAAUGGAAGGAAGAACAAAGUGUGAUCGUCAAAAUAUUCAAAGCUUCCCCCAAGUCUCUCUCUCCCUCUCCUGUUUUCUGUCCCUUUUGUGAGCACCAAACCUCCAAUGGUAGGAAGCAUUUGUCUAAAAAUAGCCCUUCUAAAAGACCCAAUCUUUUCUGAGUUUCAUGAAACAUCUGCUGAACAGUUUCCUAUAACUGUUUUUGGCCCUUAAAUCAAAGCCGGGAGAAACAAUGUUCUGUUUCUGCCUUUAAAGCAAAGAAUUGCCAUCAGACCUUCCUCUCCCGACGACAAUGGGGCCAGAAAUGGCCACGGGAGGCUUUGAAACACCUUGAGGCCCGGGGCCAAGAAGAGAGUUACUCGUGUCUUGUUUUUCUUUCUUUUUAAAGAGGCAGUUCAUCUCCCAAGAGCAGAAAAGAAACUUGGAUAGGCAAAACCUCAUGGGAGAGGCUAGCCUACACCAUGCAAAUCCGCACCUGCAGGGGCGGGCGCUGGUGUGGCGGGUCGUCGGGGACAGCCGCGUGGGGAACCGAGUGUGAGCUGCUUGGUAGCUGGCCGUGUGUUGUACUCUGUGGCCGACUCGGUUCUGUGCCACGUCUGCUGGUUCCCGCGGCACAGAAAGUGGGAGUUUGCACCAAGCAGAAAGCAUCUGGAAUAAUCAAGGAUGCUGACCUUGCUGCCAGGGAGAAGCUUGUGGCCAGAGAGAAGCUGGCUCGUUGUCUAAUGACAUUGAACUCCUAAUUAGAGCUGCCUCUUGCAACUGGCAUCAGAGCCCGUCCCUGGCCCAAACACAACGUGAUCGAGGGAGGUUUGCUGGUCCAAGGGGAAAACCCACAGACGCAAGGUCUAGAGACCUAGUAGGUGCCGUCCAGACUAUGCUUCCCACUAGCUGAGGGUGCUUGGCAAGGCAUGUCCCCUCUCUGAGCCCCCUGACCGCGGUGAGCUGCGGGCCGCCCUCAUGUGAACCACAGCAUUGGUACACAAACCGCUGGGCCUCACAACUAAUGCAGGUGGCAGCAGGCCGAGGAGGAAGCCCGGGCGAUGCAGGAUGGAAACGUGCCCAGGGCCAGGGCUGGCUCUGCCCAGCAGCAGAGCGCUCAGCUCGGUGCUAAAGGUCAGCCGAGGGGCUGACGGGGGCAGAGCCAGCGUCGGCAGCAGUGCUGGGAGCUGAGACAUGCCGUACAAGGCCGGGUCCUUGGCUGGGCGCUCAUACAGCCGAUACAGUCCCCUGGGGGAGAGAAGGCCUGGGCCACCUUCUCUCUCUAGGACAUGACUUUGGUCUGUGCAGCUGACUUGUGGGUUAGGUGAAAAAACUCAAGGCACAACAGGAGAGGGAUAUGUGACAGUAAGACCACAGAGCAUGAAGGAUUCAUCUAUAGCUCGUGUCAAAGGCCUUACAUGGCACAUCGUUUGGGUCUCAAAACAAUACUCUCUGAAAAAGGGGGGGACCCCAGGACCUACCCGUAAGCACAGGUGUGAACAGAGGAUGUGGGGAGCCAAGAGUGUAAGGCUAGACUUAAUGAGCUAUAAGCCUCCUUCCAGAAUCAGCUCUCUCUGAUGCUGUGUGCUGUCUCUCUGUUUGCGAAAAUGGCCCGGGAAGGUUCUGGUGGAAACUGGUUUCCAUGUUUCAUGUCCAUGGUAAUUUGUGAUUGGAUCAGAAGGCAACGGAGGCUAGCCCAUCUAAUCUGUGGGCACUGUUAGGUGGAUCCCAUAUCUGUGAUUGUGAGGGCAGAACCAGAAGCAAGAGCUGUUAUGCCCUCUCCCUUGUUUGUAGGCUUGCCCUGAACAUAGCCAAAGGAAGUCAUGCCAGGAGAGAGGUGGGCUGGUUGUCUUUCCGGCUUCUUCCUCCCUUCCCUUCCCUUCCUUCCUUCCUUCAUCCUUCCUUCCUUCCUUCCUUCCUUCCUUCCUUUCUUCCUUCCUUCCUUCCCUCCCUCCCUCCUUCCCUUCCUCCCUUCCUCCCUUCCUUCCUCCCUUCCUCCCUUCCUCCCUCCAUCCCUCCCUUCCUCUUUUCCUCCCCUCUCUGUCUAGAUGCCAAGUGGUACCAGUAAUGCUCUAAGAAGUGAUUAAUAAAAAAAUAUAUAGAUUCAUAUUUUAUCCAAAACAAUGAAGCCAAAAGCCAUUUAAGAUGAAGAAACAAUCCUAAUACAGUUGGGAAACCCUCCCCAAAUCUGCCUGAAAGCCCACAAUCCAGGAGAUACCUACAACAUCCAAGCAAACAACGCAAAACAAGCCAACAUUUCAGCUUGUAUAUAAAAUCAUUUCUGCACACUUUUCACUUUCUGAAGCAGAAUACAAAGUCUAUUUAUAGUUCUAUAUUUAUUUGAUAGAAUAGCACCAGCAUUGAAUGGGCUGCUUUCGGCUUUGCCUGUUGCAAAUUAAGUGUAUGUGCACGCAUGUGUAUAUGUGUGUGUGCGUGUGUGUGUGCACGCCAAGCUGGGAAGCAGUGGUGAUUAGCUCAGGUUGCGCUCACGGCUCCCAAGUCCCCGAGCCACCCUCCGUAGUUCCCAGCCACUGCACACAGAAGCCCAGCCCCGGGGCUCGGCCCUCUGUCGCGUUGCCAAUGAACAAAACGUGUCUCGUGCUAGUGAAACAAAACCACGCACAAGUAGAAACACGGAAGCCGCUGAGCCUCGAUGGGUCACGAUGGUCAUGUCCAAUACGACAACCGUGGAGAACAGUUUCGUAAUUUUUUUUAAGUGAUUCCACUCAAUUUGCUGUUCUAGUCUUAUCCUGCCUGCCCAGGGAGGCAAAAGACAAGCCCUCAGCUUCCGUAUAUCCGGGCAUGUGUCACCAAGGUGGGGCAGUGGCCAACAGCUUCCCGGGUUUGCCGCGACUCCUAAGCCCCGGUGGGGCGUCUCCAGGCCCUGGGGGCCGCACUGCAGCAUCCCGGCGCCUGCCCUUCCCAGAGGCCUGCUUGGAGCCACCACGGCAGUCCCUGUGGGGUCGGCCUGUGGCCACGGGGUGAGGCGCUCAUGCUCCUGUCUGUCCUGGUCAGCGAAUUCAAGGCACUUUCCAGUUGGCUUGGAAGCGCAGCCCCUAGUUUCCCCCCUUCUGCUUUUAAAGAGUACCUUGUUUUGCUUCCUCUUUCCCUUUCCCUUCCUGUAGAAAAGACCAGUGUAUUCCUCGUGGGAUGCAGAUGUGAGCGCGACACCUGCUCUGGGGGGAGCGGCGGGGAGGACCGUUGAGGCCCGGCAGCUGUGCCCACAGCGGGCUCGCGCUCCUGAGCCAGGCCCGUGCAGCUGGCUCCUGCUGGGCGGCGGCGUCUGGACGGGCGCGAUCCUGAGCUGGGAGGGAGCUCAGGCGGCUGCGGGCAGGAUCCCAGUCUCCCAAGGCCACGGGCUCAGUGUCCACUGAGACAGGACUUUGGGCCCUUUGUUCCCUGGGGAAGCCGUGCAUUUCAUAGGGCUCAGAGGUCCAGUAGGCAGUCAUGGGACCUCACAGGGCUGGGCCGUGGGGCUCAGAGUAGGUUUCUUGAGAACAAAGAAGCCUAAAGAGUAGAGGGGCCCUGUUAUGGCAACAUUUACUGUGAGUAGGUAACCAGAGAUGGCAGCUGUGGACCGCCCUGCCCUCCCUACGGGGGAGCGGCUGCCUGCACAGGGCCGUGCUGGAGAAAAAACGCGGAUCCUGACACAUGCAUGCACACACACGUGCACAUACAUACACUCAUGCAGUCAGACAGACCUAGGUUCAAGGUUGGCUCCCCCUCUUAGCUCUCUGUCUACGGGCCAAUCAUUCAACCCCCCUGAGCUUCAAAUCUUUCAUCCAAAAUAGAUAGAUAGAUGAUUGAUUGAUUGAUAGAUAGAUAGAUAGAUGAUAGAUAAUAGAUAGAUGAUAGAUGAUAGAUAGAUAGAUAGAUAGAUAGAUAGAUAGAUAGAUAUUGUGCUUUCUAUAAGUCUCCUCCAGAUAUUAGGAACACCAUGGAAAAUAAAGCAAACACAUUACUGAUGUGGUUACAGUCCAGGGAGAGACAGAUUACAAACAAGCAAGGACCCAAGUAAACACGCAUUUACACAUCGUGACUAUAAGCUCUGGAGGAAGGUCCUGACAGAGAGCAGCAGACAGGCCUGGAGGCCCCCAUUCUCUCCGGGAUGGUCCCUAAGGAAGGAGUGCUCAGGCCACAGGCUGAAGGUGAGAAGGAACCAACCUUCAAGCACAACAGUGCUCUGGCCAUGACGGAGCAGUGCGAUGUGUCACCAGGCUCUUGGGACACAGAGACAGAGGGCCCUGGUCUUGUGGGGCUGACAGCUUGGUGAGGGGAGAGAGCCAGUAAACAGAGAGCCUAAGAAAUAGUGGUGGAAGCGCCGGAUGGGGGUGCAGGGAGGGGAUGGAUGGGGGGAUCUUGUUCAUUCAUACAGAAGGCUCAGAGCGGGACAGAUGGCAGCAGUGACGUUCAGCUAGACUUGAGGAAGGUGGGGGAAGAAUGGAACCUGACAGAGUGGUCUGUCCCCUCUGGCUCCUCGAGAAGGAACUGCGGCCAGAACAGCACGGACUGGGUGAGGGAGGCAGCCAUGGCGGAGCUCUGGGGAGACAUGACGUGGCUCUGACUGGUGGGGUGGCAAUGCGGCGAACAGGAAGCAGCUGGAUACUGGAUAGAGUUUAAAAGUAGAGCCAACAGGAUUUCUCAACAGGCUGGAUAUGGUUCUAAGAAACUGAGGAGUCAAGCACCCUCCAAGGAUCUGGGCCUCAGAAUCUGGAAGCAUCGGGAGAAGGCUGGAGUCAGGCGUGCCAUUGUGGCCACAUGAAUUCUGAGGGGUCUGCUCUGUGGGUGUCCCCCAUGUGUCUGGAGUCAGAAGGGGCUCUGGGCUGGAGAGACGAACAUGAGGUUGACCUCCUACAUCACUGUCUCUGAAAGCCAUGAGACUGGAUGAGUUCACCACGAACUGAGAGCCAACGACCCUCCAGUGUUGAGGUGGCAGGAGGGCAAGCAGCCUACAGAAGGGGCUGAGUAGAGACCACAAAGUAGGGGCAAAACCAGAAAGAGGGCGUUCGUGAAGGCCCUGCGAGGAAGGCAUCACCAGGAGGGAGGGAUGAUGGUAUCCCCUGCUGCUUGAGAGGGAAACAAAGCUGAGCACAGACAAUGAACAAUCUUACCUCAGAGUGACCUGAAGGGGUGUCCAAAGCCCCAUACCCCCAAGAUAGUUUCCCUUCCUGCCAGCAGCCUGGAACCCAGCCUAGAAGGCCCCCUGGGGAUGGCCUCCUCUAGUCUGGGGGGACGCCACAGUAGAAUGGGCUGUUCCUAGAGCUGCAACCAGCCUUCCCCACAGAGUCAGAAGUACCUUCGUGUGAGGAAGAGACAGGCUCGGUCUAGGCUCAGAAAGUGGCACCGCAUCCUGACAGAAGGGGGGUGACAGAGGAUUCUUCUGGUAGGAAUGGUGUGGUGAACGGAGACUACAGGCCACUCUCAGUACUCACACUCUCUGAACGAUUUUGAAAUUUCCUCCCGAUCCCUAAGCCCCUCUCGCGCGACUGUGUGGGCAGCUAAAGGCAGCUGGACACAAGAGGAGGCCGGGCUGCAGCAUCUGUGGUCAGUGGGGGCAAGGAGGGCCAGCGCCCAGGGCAGCCUCAUCUGCAGGCUCCGGGGCCACCUUCCUGUCCCCCGCUCCACGGUGUUUACGGAUCGGAAGGCAGUGGGGCUGGGCCACAGAGAGGAAAGCCAAAGCCCUGGUCUGUUUGCUGCUGAUAAGUGAUUCUACAAGACAAGCAGAAGGAAUCCAGACAGAGAUCUAAGGACAUCCAGAUGCUCGCACAGCGGCCGGUUCCUGAGAGGUGCCACACCUGUCCCCCCUCCCCGGGCUCUGCCACUGCCUUUCCUGUUGAGGAGACUGCUGCUUUCCCCAUGCUGAUUGCCAGCUCGGUCGCCACAUCCAUCCCUGUCCCUGCCUCUCCUCGCAUGCAGCGCGAGAAGCCGCCUGCAGAGCCGGGAGACAGAAGAAACUGGUCCAGCGCUGACACAGGAGGGAUGGGAGCAAGUGUUGUCUUUUGUGUUCCUUUGUCUGCCAGCCUCCGGAAUGCAAGAAAGGGAUGCAAGGGCAGGUAUGUCCUUUCCAGGCUGACCCCGAUCUCAACACAAAAUGAAAAGACGCACAACUUCCACCAUGUGUCUGGGAGGUAGACUCCUUGGGUCCAUUACCANGCCUGGCUUCUCACUCCAGGUCAAAUCCAAAGAGGAGAAAGCAGCGGGGACGCCCUGGGUAGGAUCAAGGAAAGCGGCUGGUGACCUUGAGCCAAGACUCCAGACUGCUUUUGUUAUUUCAAAAGCUCCCGAGCCAUCCUGAGGAUGUGAACAAUAUUCCUGAGUCAUGGUUUUGCAAGGAAGCAGAAAUAGAGAGCUCCCUCGACAUCUCUGAAGAUCACUUAUCAGCCUCCAGGCAGGCCUGCAGCGGAGAGAGCAUCAAAUCUGCCAGCCCCAAGUCAGCCUCUUAGAGAAGCAACUGCUCCCGCUGGUCCCAGAGAAACAGCAUGCACUCAACUCACUGUGUCCGCACCACAUCCUCCCCCGAGCCCACUGCAGCAUGAAGGACCGUGCCGGACGGAGCCCCUGUGGUCUGUGCGAUUGAAAGCAGAGAAGAAGCGUGUUCGGAAAAGGAACAGGUGAAAUCAAUUCUAAGAGCCCUGAACUUGAGUCCAGAGACUUGGGUUUUGGGGCCCUCAGGAGCUUGUCGGUUCUACUCAGCAGGACUGGGUGUUUUCUGGAAUCGAGGCUGAUCCUGUCGGCAUCACCGAGGUGCGUCCGGGAUCAGCCACACCAUGUGGCAGAAACGGCCCCCACCGUUCCCGGCAGAUGCCAUCAGAGCUCGUGGAGGGCGGAUAAUUCACGUUCAUCUCAGGGCUCCACCUUACUCUGUGGAGCUCUGCUUCCUGGGGUAGGUGUGGAGGGUGGCACCCGUGUUUUGAAACGAGCAGCAACACCUUGUAUCCGCACACGCUUCAUUUUGUCAAGGGCAGCGUCAGAACUCUCCACGCAGCAUCGGGUUGGGGGGGGAGCUAGGCAGCCCCUCGUCCUUCAUUUUUUUGGCUGACCCUCCUGCUUCUGCUCCCACUCCUAGUUGUUUUUUGGCCACAAAAGGAGCUGUCAACUAGAUCACAGUUGGACAUUUGGGACUAAAUUAGCCAUCCCUUAUGGAGGUGUUUGCGUUUUCCGCAGCAGAAGAAAUCUCUGGACCAGAGCUGCAGGAGAGGAUGGUGGGCAUAGAGCCAGGAAGGCCAAGACCAGAAGGGGGGAGGCCGGGGGUGGGGUGUCUGGCCAGGCCUUCUGAGUAUACCUCCCAUGCCACUAGACGGGCCCUGGUCGUCGGGCCAGAAGUGAAGACCUUCUGGAUAAAGAUGACCUUUAGAGAGUGAGGGGUGGGGGGGAGACAGAGCAAAAGGUGAUCUUAUCGCACUCCCCUGGGAAGUCCUGCAGACGGGCCGGGGAGACAGCCAACGAAGCUGAGUGGAUUUCCUCUUCAGCCAUGGCCAUUCAGCAAGAGCUGAGGAUCUGGUCGUUGGAAGACCCCCGGACUGACUUCAAAAGAGCUGGCACCUCCACAAAGCCCGGCUAAUAGCCAGGGGACAUUUACGCCACUGUCCCCCUCUCUACCCUGUAAAACACAGACCAUCACCAGCGAUUGCUGGUAACAAAAUGGGCUGAUACCCUUGAAGAUGCCUCCAUUUAGUGAUGGUGUUGCCAAAUGACCUCCAGGGGCAGUGGGACUGGACGUGUUUUCUCUGAGCAAGGUAGCUCUCUCUUCCUCCCUUGGUUGAUGCCCGAGAGAAACGGCCACUGCCCCAGUGCACACCGUUUCUGGGAUAAGAGGGUAACCCCGGGGUCUCGGGCAAGUCUCCAGGAGCCCAGAGCGUGAGCACAGGGAGGCUGACUGCAGAGGCAGGCCGGGGGGUCCAGCCAGGGGGCAGGGAAGUGCACAUGGCAAGGCGCCAGGUGGGCACAGCCUGUGGCCCACACAUUGGGCACUUGGGCUCUCCUGUUGCAAGUUUUCAGGGAACCCACACAGUUUAGAACCUCAGAUUUGGCAAAUCAGCAAAGGGAACAUUGGUCCCAAUUAUUUUCCAGGGCAUCCAUUGUCUUCUGAGGUGUUAAACUCCCAUUAGUAUUAACCAGAGGCAAACAUUUGUUUUAUUCUGUUGAUGGACCUCGGGCUAUAAAACACCUUUCCUGACAAGGUUAAGGCCGUGGAGUCUGACAUUGAGACUAUCUCGAGUUGGUGUGUGUGUGUGUGCGCUUUAAGGCAGCUUUAUAGUUUUCUGUUCAAAAUACAUGGAACAAAAAAAAGAAACAACACACAUUGCA